GAUGAACGCUGGCGGCGUGCCUAAUACAUGCAAGUCGAGCGAACAGACGAGGAGCUUGCUCCUCUGACGUUAGCGGCGGACGGGAGAGUAACACGUGGAUAACCUACCUAUAUGACUGGGAUCACUUCGGGAAACCGGAGCUAAUACCGGAUAAUAUAGUGAACCGCAUGGUUCAAUAGUGAGAGACGGUGUUGCUGGCACUUAUAGAUGGAUCCGCGCCGGAUUAGCUAGUUGGUAAGGUAACGGCUUACCAAGGCGACGAUGCGUAGCCGACCUGAGAGGGUGAUCGGCCACCCUGGAACUGAGACACGGUCCAUACUCCUACGGGAGGCAGCAGUAGGGAAUCUUCCGCAAUGGGCGAAAGCUUGACGGAGCAACGCCGCGUGAGUGAUGAAGGUCUUCGGUUCGUAAAGCUCUGUUAUUAGGGAAGAACAACUGUGUAAGUAACUAUGCACGUCUUGACGGUACCUAAUCAGAAAGCCCCGGCUAACUACGUG
rnacentral:rRNA from 1 species